UAUUGCAGGGUAUUGGCACAGUUCAACCCUACCACGACAUCAACGACAUUGAUAUUGCGGUUUGGUUGAGCCGCGCCAAUAUCCCCUGCCACAAA